rnacentral:lncRNA from 1 species
GCUGUCAAAACGGUUUUCCCCAUCACCACAAGUCAACUAAGGUAAUGCAACCUCACCUUCCAAGCUUAGGCUGGUUCCUUGCAUUGGAUUCACGGAAGACUUGUUUGAGAUAAAUGUGUAGUUGAUAGUUUAAUGCAUUCAUCUCUUUUUGAAUGUAAGGAAACAUACAUUAUAGUGGCUUGCACCCUAUUUGCCAUUAUAAAGGGGAUCAAGAUCAAGGCCACAGAUUUGAUCCUUCAUGCCCUAUUCUAUCAAAUGAAAUAUUUGAAUGCAAAAUCAUAUUAGAUUAUAGGAUCAUCAUAAGAGGCAAAAUCAUAUAUUUGAUUUCACAAGGUACAUGUGCAAUCAAGAACAUAUAACUAGUAUUUAUUCACGUUGUGAAACACAAAUAUGUAUGGGUGACAAAACACAAAAUAAUGGAUGGCCAAGGGAAAGAACUCUGAUGCAUGAUCAUUGGUGCUUUUAGUGCUAUUAUUUUAAUCAAAAUUAGAUUAAUCUUGGUAAUCCUUUAAAUGUAAAACUUACCCAAGAGACCAACACGAAAUUGACAGGACAAAUCUCUGUUCAAUAAAAGUGCAGUAGUCACUUUUGUCCAACAAAAUCUGUUCAAUAAUAAGACUAAUAAAAACAAGUGGUAUUUCCUUUGCCUAGGCAAAGAAGUUUCCUGUACCCAAAUUGUCUAGGACAUAAUACGAUUAAGAAUGGAGAAAAAAAAAAUACCAGUUUGAACUGUUAGAAAGAAAAUGGCACGGGAGCUUUGGGUGUUUCAUCCUACACCCCCAACAAAUUUCUCCCUGCACCCCAUCAUUUUC